rnacentral:rRNA from 1 species
AGACGCAAGUAGCGCCAGGUUCGGCUUAAUUAAAGAACGUGGGUGAGAGUAACUGUUCACCAUGACGGUAUUUAACCAGAAAGCCACGGCUAACGUGCCAGCAGCCGCGGUAAUACGUAGGUGGCAAGCGUUAUCCGGAUUUAUUGGGCGUAAAGCGAGCGCAGGCGGUCUUUUAAGUCUAAUGUGAAAGCCUUCGGCUCAACCGAAGAAGUGCAUUGGAAACUGGGAGACUUGAGUGCAGAAGAGGACAGUGGAACUCCAUGUGUAGCGGUGAAAUGCGUAGAUAUAUGGAAGAACACCAGUGGCGAAGGCGGCUGUCUGGUCUGUAACUGACGCUGAGGCUCGAAAGCAUGGGUAGCGAACAGGAUUAGAUACCCUGGUAGUCCAUGCCGUAAACGAUGAUUACUAAGUGUUGAGGGUUUCCGCCCUUCAGUGCUGCAGCUACGCAUUAGAUUAAAGACCGCCUGGCGCUUUACGACCGCAAAUCCGGAUAACUUGCACUACGAUUGACGGGCGCUGGCACGUAGUUAGCGUGGAGCUUGGUUAAUCCGCAGCUGGAAAGUUACUCUACCCAGUCUUGACUCUUCUCAACCUAAGAGUUUACGAGCCGACCCUUCGACAGAAUACAGUGGUGCAUGGUUGCUCAUCAGACUCGUGUCGUGAUUGUUGGGUUAAGAUCCGCACAGCUGCCCCUAAUAGUUGGGCCAGUCUCAGUUGGGCACUCAGUGGACUGCCGUACAAACCGAAGGUGGGACACGUCAAAUCAUCAUGCCCCUUGUGAGCCGUCUCACCACACGUAGCUACAAUGCGGCGGGUCACAGGGAACCGCGAGGUUUAGCAAUCUUUAAAAGAAAACCAGGCGGUUUUCUCGUUGACGUAGCUAGCACUCGUCACGAAGUCGAUCCCUAGCUAAUCUGCGGAUCAGUCCACGGUGAUACGUACCCGGCCUUGCACCACCCCGUAAAUCUCAUGAGUUUGAAGCACCCAUAACUAACGGAAGUCGUCGACU